rnacentral:snRNA from 1 species
ACAAUCUUUGCUAACCAUCA